CUUUAAAUUUUCCCUUAGCCUCCUGAGCUGCUGGAAUUAUGGGUGUGCACCACUGUGCCCGGUAUAUAUAUAUAUGUAUAUAUAUAUAUAUAUAUAUAUAUAUAUAUAUGUACAUAUAUAUAUAUACCGGGCACAGUGGUGCACACCCAUAAUUCCAGCAGCUCAGGAGGCUAAGGGAAAAUUUAAAGU
rnacentral:miRNA from 1 species